rnacentral:rRNA from 1 species
GUGGGGAAUCUUCCGCAAUGGACGAAAGCCUGAUGGAGCAACGCCGCGUGAAGGAUGAAGGUCUUCGGAUUGUAAACUUCUUUUAUGAGUGAAGAAUAUGACGGUAACUCAUGAAUAAGCACCGGCUAACUACGUGCCAGCAGCCGCGGUCAUACGUAGGGUGCAAGCAUUAUCCGGAGUGACUGGGCGUAAAGAGUUGCGUAGGCGGUUAUGUAAGCGAAUAGUGAAACCUGGUGGCUCAACCACACAGACUAUUAUUCGAACUGCAUAACUCGAGAAUGGUAGAGGUAACUGGAAUUUCUUGUGUAGGAGUGAAAUCCGUAGAUAUAAGAAGGAACACCAAUGGCGUAGGCAGGUUACUGGGCCAUUUCUGACGCUAAGGCACGAAAGCGUGGGGAGCGAACCGGAUUAGAUACCCGAGUAGUCC